rnacentral:rRNA from 1 species
GAUGAACGCUGACAGAAUGCUUAACACAUGCAAGUCAACUUGAAUUUGGGUUUUUAACUUAGGUUUGGGUGGCGGACGGGUGAGUAACGCGUAAAGAACUUGCCUCACAGCUAGGGACAACAUUUGGAAACGAAUGCUAAUACCUAAUAUUAUGAUAAUAGGGCAUCCUAUAAUUAUGAAAGCUAUAAGCGCUGUGAGAGAGCUUUGCGUCCCAUUAGCUAGUUGGAGAGGUAACGGCUCACCAAGGCGAUGAUGGGUAGCCGGCCUGAGAGGGUGAUCGGCCACAAGGGGACUGAGACACGGCCCUUACUCCUACGGGAGGCAGCAGUGGGGAAUAUUGGACAAUGGACCAAGAGUCUGAUCCAGCAAUUCUGUGUGCACGAUGAAGUUUUUCGGAAUGUAAAGUGCUUUCAGUUGGGAAGAAACAAAUGACGGUACCAACAGAAGAAGUGACGGCUAAAUACGUGCCAGCAGCCGCGGUAAUACGUAUGUCACGAGCGUUAUCCGGAUUUAUUGGGCGUAAAGCGCGUCUAGGUGGUUAUGUAAGUCUGAUGUGAAAAUGCAGGGCUCAACUCUGUAUUGCGUUGGAAACUGUAUAACUAGAGUACUGGAGAGGUAAGCGGAACUACAAGUGUAGAGGUGAAAUUCGUAGAUAUUUGUAGGAAUGCCGAUGGGGAAGCCAGCUUACUGGACAGAUACUGACGCUGAAGCGCGAAAGCGUGGGUAGCAAACAGG